rnacentral:tRNA from 1 species
UCCCUGGUGGCUCAGAUGGUAAAGCAUCCACCUGAAAUGUGGGAGACCAGGGUUUGAUCCCUGGGUUGGGAA